rnacentral:pre_miRNA from 24 species
GCCCGCACGGGAAAAUCGAUUUUCCCGUGCGGUCAUCUUGAAUGAACCGCACGGGAAAAUAAGCUGAUUUUCCCGUAUGGAC